rnacentral:rRNA from 1 species
UAACGGCGAGUGAGCGGCAACAGCUCAAAUUUGAAAGCUGGCCUUCGGGUCCGCAUUGUAAUUUGUAGAGGAUGCUUUGGGUGAAACGCCAGUCUAAGUUCCUUGGAACAGGACGUCAUAGAGGGUGAGAAUCCCGUAUGUGACUGGAAAUGUUAACCUAUGUAAAGCUCCUUCGACGAGUCGAGUUGUUUGGGAAUGCAGCUCUAAAUGGGAGGUAAAUUUCUUCUAAAGCUAAAUAUUGGCGAGAGACCGAUAGCGCACAAGUAGAGUGAUCGAAAGAUGAAAAGCACUUUGGAAAGAGAGUUAAAAAGCACGUGAAAUUGUUGAAAGGGAAGCGCUUGCAAUCAGACUUGUUUAAACUGUUCGGCCGGUCUUCUGACCGGUUUACUCAGUUUGGACAGGCCAGCAUCAGUUUCGGCGGCCGGAUAAAGGCUCUGGGAAUGUGGCCUUCACUUCGGUGAAGGUGUUAUAGCCCAGGGUGUAAUACGGCCAGCCGGGACUGAGGUCCGCGCUUCGGCUAGGAUGCUGGCGUAAUGGUUGUAAGCGACCCGU